rnacentral:rRNA from 1 species
UGGGGAAUAUUGGACAAUGGGCGAAAGCCUGAUCCAGCCAUGCCGCGUGUGUGAAGAAGGUCUUCGGAUUGUAAAGCACUUUAAGUUGGGAGGAAGGGCAGUAAGCGAAUACCUUGCUGUUUUGACGUUACCGACAGAAUAAGCACCGGCUAACUCUGUGCCAGCAGCCGCGGUAAUACAGAGGGUGCAAGCGUUAAUCGCAAUUACUGGGCGUAAAGCGCGCGUAGGUGGUUCGUUAAGUUGAAUGUGAAAGCCCCGGGCUCAACCUGGGAACUGCAUCCAAAACUGGCGAGCUAGAGUAGGGCAGAGGGUGGUGGAAUUUCCUGUGUAGCGGUGAAAUGCGUAGAUAUAGGAAGGAACACCAGUGGCGAAGGCGACCACCUGGGCUCAUACUGACACUGAGGUGCGAAAGCGGGGGGAGCAAACAGG